rnacentral:rRNA from 1 species
AAUCAACGCCGGCGGCGUGCCUAACACAUGCAAGUCGAACGAGAAAGUGGAGCAAUCCAUGAGUAAAGUGGCGACCGGGUGAGUAACACGUGACUAACCUACCUUCAAGUGGGGAGUAACCUCGGGAACCGGGGACUAUACCGCAUAAUAUCUUGGGCGGAAGAACCGAAGAUCAAAGGAGCAAUUCGCUGGAAGAGGGGGUCGCGGCUGAUUAGUUAGUUGGCGGGGUAAUGGCCCACCAAGACAGAGAUCGGUAGCCGGCCUGAGAGGGCGCACGGCCACACUGGAACU